GGAGAGGUGGCAGAGCGGCUGAAUGCACUGGUCUUGAAAACCAGCAAGGAUUAAUAGUCCUUCGUGGGUUCAAAUCCCACCCUCUCCGCCA
rnacentral:tRNA from 1 species